AGCAGCCGCGGUAAUUCCAGCUCCAAUAGCGUAUAUUAAAGUUGUUGCAGUUAAAAAGCUCGUAGUUGAAUUUCGGGAUCAAAGGAUCGGUCAUGCCUUGGUAUGUACUGGUUUUAUUGGUUCUCACCUUCUAAAGAACCAUAAUGUCAUUCAUUUGAUGUUAUGGGGAAUUAGGACUGUUACCUUAGAAAAAAUUAGAGUGUUUAAAGCAGGCUUACGCUUGAAUACAUUAGCAUGGAAUAAUGAAAUAGGACAUCAGAUUCUAUUUUGUUGGUUUCUAGGAUCGAUGUAAUGAUUAAUAGGGAUAGUUGGGGGCAUUAGUAUUCAAUUGUCAGAGGUGAAAUUCUUGGAUUUAUUGAAGACUAACUACUGCGAAAGCAUUUGCCAAGGAUGUUUUCAUUAAUCAAGAACGAAAGUUAGGGGAUCGAAGACGAUCAGAUACCGUCGUAGUCUUAACCAUAAACUAUGCCGACUAGGGAUCGGAUGAUGUUAAUUUAUAAUGACUCAUUCGG
rnacentral:misc_RNA from 1 species